AAUCAACGCUGGCGGCGUGCCUAACACAUGCAAGUCGAACGCGAAAGUGGAGCAAUCCAUGAGUAGAGUGGCAAACGGGUGAGUAACACGUGGGUGACCUGCCUUCGAGUGGGGGAUAACGUUUCGAAAGGAACGCUAAUACCGCAUAACAUGCUGUCUUUUAACAGAUGGACAUCAAAGCCGGGGACCGCAAGGCCUGGCGCUUGAAGAGGGGCCCGCGCCUGAUUAGCUAGUUGGUGGGGUAAUGGCUCACCAAGGCAACGAUCAGUAUCCGGCCUGAGAGGGCGGACGGACACACUGGGACUGAGACACGGCCCAGACUCCUACGGGAGGCAGCAGUGGGGAAUUGUUCGCAAUGGGCGCAAGCCUGACGACGCAACGCCGCGUGGAGGAUGAAGAUCUUCGGGUCGUAAACUCCUUUCGAUCGAGACGAAUGGCCCUUGGGCUAAUACCCUGAGGGAGUGACGGUACCGAGAGAAGAAGCCCCGGCUAAACUCCGUGCCAGCAGCCG
rnacentral:rRNA from 1 species